rnacentral:misc_RNA from 1 species
GAUGAAGAACGCAGCGAAAUGCGAUAAGUAAUGUGAAUUGCAGAAUUCAGUGAAUCAUCGAAUCUUUGAACGCAUCUUGCGCUCCUUGGUAUUCCUUGGAGCAUGCCUGUUUGAGUAUCAUGAGCAAAUCUCAAAGUCAAUUCCUUUUGUUUAUUCAAUUGGUUUUGCUUUGGACUUGGAGGCCUUGCAGAUUUCACAGUCUGCUCCUCUUAAAUGCAUUAGCUGGAUCUCAGUAAUUAUGCUUGGUUCCACUCGGCGUGAUAAGUAUCACUCGCUGAGGACACUGUUAAAAAGGUGGCCAGGAAAAUACUGAUUGAACCGCUUCUAACGGUCUAUUAAGUUAGACAAUUACCCUUAAGUUUGAUCUCAAAUCAGGUAGGACUACCCGCUGAACUUAAGCAUAUCAAUAAGCGGAGGA